rnacentral:lncRNA from 1 species
CCAGAACCUCCGCGGGGCUCCUGGAAGGGCUCUGUCUUGGCUACCCUCAGAAAACUGCUCCAGUAUUUGUAGCUUCUCAGGCUCCAGGAGCUGGAGUUCCCCUUGCUCAGAGUAGCCAAAGAAUGGCAUUGAUGAGGAUGGAACAGACCUGGAGGUUAGAGGGGCACCUGGUCUCAGUUUAGAUCUGACUUGCAAUUAAUUCUGGGCUGGAUGACUGCCAGAGGCUGGUUCUUUGACCUUCUGUCAGUUUUGAAAAUUUUGAGGGUGAAUAAAUUCCCUAUGAAGAAGACAGACCUUAACUUGGAUUUUCUGAAAAUUUCUUGGGAGAGACACCCCUUAGUACUCUUUGAAAAGUGCACUAUCUCAUCGUGUAUAUGGAUUUGUAAGGAGUCUCUGCCAGAAUCGACUGGAACCUCUUAAACAUUUCAAAUGCAUCAGAACUGAGUAUUAAGAAAAGUAAAGCUUCUGAUUAUCUUCCUUUUUACUGGCAUACAUGGCUUUUAAAUAAACAUGGAUUCAUAGCACA